AGCUGAAGAGAAAAACUCAUUCCGACCUCCACCAUUGAUCUCUGUUCUCAUCAGAACCCGACCUUCACAUAGAAGCAGAAGAUGAGCACUCUUCAGCUCUUCGCACAGACAGACCUCCAGGGAGAAUCUGUGACCAUAUAUAAGGACACCCCUAACCUGUCAGCUAAUAAUGACUUUGUAAAAAGAGCCCGGUCCCUCAUAGUCAUUGGAGACCCGUGGAUUGUCUUCAGCGGAGCUGAAUAUCAGGGGGAUUUUAAAUGCUUCCCAACAGGAAAAUACCAAUCACUCCUCCCAUUUUGGGACCAACAAAUCAGCUCUGUGAGAGUGGUGAGUGGCGGUCUGGCCAGUCCAAAUAUCACCCUGCAUGAUGAGAUCAAUUAUAGGGGCCAACCGAUGCUCCAGAAAGGACCUGUGCCAUCCCUGGAUAAAUUAGAUUUCAGGGUAUCAUCAUAUAAAGUGGCCAGCGGAGCUUGGGUCUUCUACUCUAAUGAUAAUUUUAGUGGCGAUAAGAUGAUCACACUGACAUCAGACGCAAUUCCAGAUAUUUCCACCAUUGGCUGGAAAAAUAAAGUGAAAUCCCUGAAGCCAUAUGAAGAUAAGUGAGAUGUGGUGGACUGUCCUCUUCUACACCGUCUUACCAUGAAAUCCUGAGCCGCGUUCUUUUCUCUGCAUCACCUUCUAUUCUGCGGAUUUCUGCUUUUAUAUAAGGCCUGCCUGUUACAGAGAGUCCAGAUUCCCAUCACACCGAUCCUGACAAAGAACUCCAGAGAACACCGAUCCUGAUGAAGACCUCCAGAGAACACCGAUCCUGAUGAAGACCUCCAGAGACACCAAUCCUGAUGAAGAACUCCAGAGAACACUGAUCCUGAUGAAGACCUCCAGAGAACACCAAUCCUGACGAAGACCUCCAGAGAACACCGAUCCUGAUGAAAACCUCCAGAGACUAAAACAUUGUCCUCCACAGGGUGAGAACCCAAACCGAUCCCUUCUACAAUGAAAGACAUUCUCAGCUUUCCAGACAGAUCAGGACACUCUGACCAUCACCCAUCCUAAUGUGUAUAAAUGAGUGGCUUUCCAUACUACACCACUCCUGAAGAAGGAACUGGAAGACUCAACCUUUCAAUCUUAUUGGCUCAGACUUUUCCUGAUUCUGCCAACCUUUCACCAGCCUGACCUGAUCAGAGCCAAAUCCGGGUAAAAUAUUGACCUACAGGAGAAAUGUUUUUAUGAAAUCUGUAUAUAAAUGUGUUCUGUGCAAAUGGGGGAAAAAUGUAAUGUUCUCAGAUUACCUUCUCUGCAGAUCAAAUGUUAUUUUUUUUACAAGCAGUGUGAAUGGGGAAAAUACCUCAUUAUGGCAACUAGAUGGUGCUGAGUGUCUUUGAAAACAAGUAUUCUCCUCAGCUCCAUCUAGUGGCCAUAACACGGUAUUUUUCCUCAUUAACAUGAAUAACAUUCAAUCUGCAGAGGUCAUAAAAUAUGGACCUACAGGGAAAAUGUUUCCUCUAAUAAUAUACAGGACUUUUUAUUUAUUUCCAUAUUUUUUUCAUAUAUUUUCUAUCACAGGGUUAUAUAAAUCUUGUCAUUGCUUGGAGUAAUACAGCCAAAAUGAUAUCUCAUCACAAAGCAGAGGAUUUAUAAAACAAAUAAUGACAUUGCUGUUAAAACUGCUUAUAAAUGUGUUCUGUGUAAAUGGGGACAAAAUCAAAUCUUAGAUUACAUUCUCUGCAGAUUCAACAAAAAACAGUGUGAAUUGGAAAAAUACUUAAUUAUGGCCACUAGAUGGUGCUGAGUAUCAAAAAAAUAAAUAUGCUCAUCAGCGCCAUCUUGUGGUCAUAAUGAGGUGUUUUUCACAUUCACAUGAAUAACAUUUGAUCAGCAAAAACCAUAGCCUCAGAACAUUCUAUUUUGUCACUUUUGUACAGAACAAAUCUACAGGCAGGUUUGAUUCCCGAACAGCUAUGCAAUUAUUAUAUUUUAAACCCCACUGGAAUUUUAUAUAAGAAAGGAAAGGAGAAGUCUAGGUGGGUGUUGCAGUGUUUAACAAAUAACAUAACUGAAGGUAUAUAAAUUGUCUUUCCUUAUCAAAUUCUGUCCUUGUAAUGUUACUUUUAUAUAAGAAAGGAAAGGAGAAGUCUAGGUGGGUGUCGCAGUGUUUCUGAUGAACGUUUCCUUCUCGGUGUCAUCAUCCGGACACGGCGCUCACUCCAUACACACACACAGAGAUCUGUGUAAAGAUACAAAUGUUUCCAUUGGGGAAUAGGCGAUGUUUAUUAGAAAUGGAGGAGUGACUUGUAUAGAGGAUGUUGGGCUUCUUCUAUCCCAUCAAUAAUGACUUCUUUCCUGGGAACAAUCUGUGAUAUGGACAUUCCACACACACAUUCCGGGAAGGUUGCUCAGGAAAUCUGUUUUGUAGGAUGAAUGGAUUUCAGUCAUUGGAUCUCUGGAAUUGAUCCAUUGUCCACCUUCUGGAAUUCCAUUCAUCUGAUCACAGGAAAGUGACAUUGAUUAGUUGGAGGUUCAUCAAUAAUCUUCAUAUUGAUCAGAUCAGAUGUGUGAUCUUCUCCUGUAACAUGGAAAUCUUUCUUCUGCUUUUCUCUCUCUAGAAAUAAAUGUCUUUGCAUUGCA